rnacentral:rRNA from 1 species
AGAGUUUGAUCCUGGCUCAGGACGAACGCUGGCGGCGUGCUAACACAUGCAAGUUGAGCGACGAACCAGGGCUUGCCCUGGGGCAAAGCAGCGAACGGGUGAGUAACACGUGGGUAACCCGCCCCGAUAACCGGGACAACCCGAGGAAACUCGGGCUAAUACCGGAUGUGCUCGCCGGACACCAGUCCGGCGCGUAAAGGAAGCUUCGGCCUCCGUAUCGGGAAGGGCCCGCGGCCCAUUAGCUAGUUGGUGAGGUAACGGCUCACCAAGGCCGCGAUGGGUAGCUGGUCUGAGAGGACGAUCAGCCACACUGGGACUGAGACACGGCCCAGACUCCUACGGGAGGCAGCAGUGGGGAAUCUUGCGCAAUGCGCGAAAGCGUGACGCAGCAACGCCGCGUGGGGGAAGAAGGCCUUCGGGUUGUAAACCCCUUUCAGGAGGGACGAAGGUUCGGCGGUGAAUAGCCGUCCGGACUGACGUACCUCCACAAG